rnacentral:rRNA from 1 species
GACGAACGCUGGCGGCGUGCUUAACACAUGCAAGUCGAACGGAAAGGCCUCUUUCGGGGGGUACUCGAGUGGCGAACGGGUGAGUAACACGUGAGUAACCUGCCCUUGACUUUGGGAUAACUUCAGGAAACUGGGGCUAAUACCGGAUAGGAGCUCCUGCUGCAUGGUGGGGGUUGGAAAGUUUCGGCGGUUGGGGAUGGACUCGCGGCUUAUCAGCUUGUUGGUGGGGUAGUGGCUUACCAAGGCUUUGACGGGUAGCCGGCCGGAGAGGGUGACCGGCCACAUUGGGACUGAGAUACGGCCCAGACUCCUACGGGAGGCAGCAGUGGGGAAUAUUGCACAAUGGGUGGAAGCCUGAUGCAGCAACGCCGUGUGCGGGAUGACGGCCUUCGGGUUGUAAACCGCUUUCGCUCAUGACGAAGCUUUGUGUGACGGUAGUGGGUAAAGAAGCACCGGCUAACUACGUG